GUAACAGCGUGUUAGUACUACAGGAUGAAAGGAAUAUCAGAAUCACUGCUGCCAUGAUGCAGCAAGACAAGUGCCUGAGUCCCAUGGAUCUACUUGAAUCCUUGCUGAGGUCAGAAGAACAGGGCAGCGGAAGAUGCAAAGCCAUUGGAAGAGUACAUAAAGAGCUUGAAGAAUUAACUUCUGAAUCCAGUCAACCAAUAAAGUAGAGAAAAAAUAUGAAACCAAUCUUCUAGUCUGAUUUCAGCAGGGAGUGGACUCAAAAUAUUCCAGAUUCCAGAUUCAUUUCAAAGAUCUUGAUUCCCAUGACUUCCCUGGAGCC